AGUGAACGCUGGCGGUAGGCCUAACACAUGCAAGUCGAACUGCAGCACAGGAGAGCUUGCUCUCUGGGUGGCGAGUGGCGGACGGGUGCGGAAUACAUCGGAAUCUACCUUUUCGUGGGGGAUAACGUAGGGAAACUUACGCUACUACCGCAUACGACCUACGGGUGAAAGUGGGGGACCGCAAGGCCUCACGCGCUUAAAUUAGCCGCUGUCCGAUUAGCUAGUUGGCGGGGUAAUGGCCCACCAAGGCGACGAUCGGUAGCUGGUCUGAGAGGAUGAUCAGCCACACUGGAACUGAGACACGGUCCAGACUCCUACGGGAGGCAGCAGUGGGGAAUAUUGGACAAUGGGCGCAAGCCUGAUCCAGCCAUACCGCGUGGGUGAAGAAGGCCUUCGGGUUGUAAAGCCCUUUUGUUGGGAAAGAAAUCCUGUCGAUUAAUACUCGGUGGGGAUGACGGUACCCAAAGAAUAAGCACCGGCUAACUUCGUG
rnacentral:rRNA from 1 species